GCGGGUGUAGCUCAAUGGUAGAGUUCUGGCCUUCCAAGCCAGCUGUGAGGGUUCGAUCCCCUUCACCCGCUCCU
rnacentral:tRNA from 3 species